UUGACUCGUUUGUAUAAUACUCGGAGAUGCGUAGUUCUAAAACAGAGUAUGCGGGCCGCCGGCGGGCGCCGCGGGUUUCCCCGGGGAGCGCCACGCCGAGGCAACGACGGUAGGUAAGAUUCACAGUGGUAUUACGGGAGUAUGACGUCCUGUAAUGAUCCCUCCGCUGGUUCACCAACGGAGA
rnacentral:misc_RNA from 1 species